rnacentral:rRNA from 1 species
UACGUAGGGGGCAAGCGUUGUCCGGAAUCAUUGGGCGUAAAGAGCGUGUAGGCGGCUCAGUAAGUCCGCUGUGAAAGUCCAGGGCUCAACCCUGGAAUGCCAGUGGAAACUGUUGAGCUAGAGUCCGGAAGAGGCGAGUGGAAUUCCUGGUGUAGCGGUGAAAUGCGCAGAUAUCAGGAGGAACACCAAUGGCGAAGGCAGCUCGCUGGGACGGUACUGACGCUGAGACGCGAAAGCGUGGGGAGCAAACAGG